GAUGAACGCUAGCGGCAGGCCUACCACAUGCAAGUCGAGGGGUAACUAGAGUGAUAGCAAUAUUACUUUGGCUAGACCGGCGCACGGGUGCGUAACACGUAUGCAACCUACCUUAUACUGGGGAAUAACUUCGAGAAAUCGGCGCUAAUACCCCAUAACAUUGCGAAGAGGCAUCUCUUUGCAAUUAAAGCUCCGGCGGUAUAAGAUGGGCAUGCGUCCAAUUAGCUAGUUGGUGAGGUAACGGCUCACCAAGGCUACGAUUGGUAGGGGUUCUGAGAGGAUGAUCCCCCACACUGGUACUGAGACACGGACCAGACUCCUACGGGAGGCAGCAGUGAGGAAUAUUGCGCAAUGGACGAAGGUCUGACGCAGCCAUGCCGCGUGCAGGAUGACGGCCCUAUGGGUUGUAAACUGCUUUUGUACGGGAAUAAACCCUUCUACGUGUAGGAGGCUGAAGGUACCGUAAGAAUAAGCACCGGCUAACUCCGUGCCAGCCGCCGCGGUAACAC
rnacentral:rRNA from 1 species